AACAUGUUCGUUUGUUUGGUGUUCAACGUUUUAAGUGUUUUGUUGUUUAUCGGGUUUAAAAAAGAAUUUCACGGAGGAAGAGCUAAUAACAAGUACAGUUUGAAGUAACAUUUAAUGAUGACACAUCAAGAAGAUGAAAAAGACUACGAAGAGGACACUUCACAACUAGUGAACUACAGGUCUUACAAAGGUUAUUGGAUGCACCCAAUAGCGACGCUGUCUGGCUCUGAGACGUCUUCUCCAUCUGGAAACAAGGAUUAGAGCAUGAAAGCCAAAGUGAAGGUGGUCCGGCAUCAUCUUUGCAGUCUUCAGAGUGAGCUU